rnacentral:misc_RNA from 1 species
GUAGGUGAACCUGCGGAAGGAUCAUUAAUUACAACAAUAAGCCAAUGGGUCCGGGGGAGGCAGUCACCGUCGGCGGGGGCUCUCUGGAUCAACGCUUUAUCGGGUGCGAUUGCGGCCCUCGGGGCCCCGUGACCUACCGCGCCCUUCGGUGACCUUAUGUCGGGCUUCGGUUGCGCGGGAGCCAGCCCCGUGUGGUUAAGGCGUCAAAGCUGUAAGACCUUUUAACGCACGCAUGACUGAAUCCUUUUACUUUACCAGUACCUCUCGUUCUCCUUCGGCGGGGCAACCUGCCGUUGGAACCGUCAAUAACCCUUUUUCGUGCAUCUAGCAUUACCUGUUCCGAUGACAAACAAUCGUUACAACUUUCAACAAUGGAUCUCUUGGCUCUG